rnacentral:lncRNA from 1 species
UUCCUCAAAUAUGUGAGGGGAAGGGAGCGGUGACUUCCUAAAGGAAAGUAUUUAUAUUUUUAGACUGAAAUAGGCUGUUACAAAGCUUUUCUCCAAAAACACAUUUAAAAAAGGAGUGUUCUAAACAAUAGAAAAUGUAUCUUAACGCAUAGUUAAGGAGCACCAAGAAAAUGCUUCUGGAUGUUGGAAUGUCAGCCUCGACUCCGCUUCUUUCUGAACUCGCUUGUUCUGCUUCGGGCUCCCAUGUCAGCAGUGUCGUGGAGAGCUCGUCCGUGUGAAGGGACAGCAUCCCGGCCAGGCCAUGGAUGGUGGCCCGGGAGGAGGAAGUGUGAGCGGGUCAAGAGAGAGAGAAGGCAUGAGAGAGGCACUCUGCUCGGAUGACACAGCCCACACUGUUUUGCCACAGAUUUGUGGUGUAUCACAGCUCGAGGGAGUCCUGGAGGCCACCCAGGCCAGGGUUUCUCAUGUUGUUGACCAUGUGCACCAGGAGGUGAGGCCUGGGAAUCCACCUACUUAGUGGCUCAGGAGAGCUGGCCCAAUAACCAGCUGGUACAGAGGCCUCAUUUCAUCGAGGAGCAGUCUGGACUGGAGAGGCCACAGGACUCGGAACAGCACCAGAUUGAAAGCAGAGCCCAUUUGAGACGUGGCUUAAAGAGGGACACCAUGCUGUCCAAACGUGGGUGUAGACAGAGCAGACACAGCCUCUUUUAUCUGCUUAUUGUGGCUCUGGGAAGACAGCUCCCCAACCCCUCCAUUCCUCUCUCAUUUGUUCAUCUUGAAACCCAUUAAGAGGGCACAAAACCUUUAUGUCACAGUGGGAGAUAAUAUGUGAAUGAUUCUUAGAAAGGUAAGAGGUAUAGGCUGGGCGCGGUGGCUCACGCCUGGAAUCCCAGCACUUUAGGAGGCCAAGGUGGGCGGAUCAUGAGGUCAGGAGAUCGAGACCAUCCUGGCUAACACGGUGAAACCCCGUCUCUACUACAAAUACAAAAAAAUUAGCCGGGCAUGGUGGCGGGCGCCUGUAGUCCCAGCUACUCGGGAGGCUGAGGCUGGAGAAUGGAGUGAACCCGGGAGGCGGAGCUUGCAGUGAGCCGAGAUUGCGCCACUGCACUCCAGCCUGGGCAACAGAGCGAAACUCCGUCUCAAAAAAAAAAAAAAAAAAAGAAAGAAAAAAAAGAAAGGUAAGAGGUAUAAAAUAUCCCCCAAGCUAAGGAGGCGCUGUAAUAGGCAGCUCUCCACUUUUGAGAAGAUUAGCUAUUGGAGGAAGAGGUGGCAUGAAAC